AACUAGGAUUAGAUACCCUAUUAUUAAGAGCAAAAAAUUGUAAGUAAAUAAUAAUUACGAAAGCAAAAAAUUAUGGCGGUAUCUUAAGCUUUUCAGAGGAAUUUGCUCUGUAAUGGAUAAAACACCUAAAUCUUACUUAAAUUAGUUAGAAUUCAGUUUGUAUACCACUAUUAAAAUAAUAAUUUACUAUUAUUAUUAAUAUUCUUUAUUAAGAAAAAAGUUAAGUCAAGGUGCAGCAAAAAUUUAAGAAUGAAGUGAAUUACAUUUCUUAAAAGAAAAAAAAAUUGAAAAUAAAAUUUAGGAUUUGAUAGUAAAAUUAAAAUAAAAAGUUAAUUGAACUAAG
rnacentral:rRNA from 1 species